GAUGAACGCUAGCGGCAGGCCUAAUACAUGCAAGUCGAACGGUAACAUUCUCGCUUGCGAGAGAUGACGAGUGGCGCACGGGUGCGUAACGCGUAUGCAACCUACCCUUAACUGGAGGAUAGCCCGGAGAAAUUCGGAUUAAUACUCCAUAGUAUCACCAGAUGGCAUCUGAAGGUGAUUAAAGAUUUAUUGGUUAAGGAUGGGCAUGCGUGACAUUAGUUAGUUGGUGAGGUAACGGCUCACCAAGACAACGAUGUCUAGGGGUUCUGAGAGGAUGAUCCCCCACACUGGUACUGAGAUACGGACCAGACUCCUNACGGGAGGCAGCAGUAGGGAAUAUUGGUCAAUGGGCGAGAGCCUGAACCAGCCAUGCCGCGUGCAGGAAGACGGCCUUCUGGGUUGUAAACUGCUUUUAUACAGGAACAAAUAGUCCAUGCGUGGAAAGUUGAGUGUACUGUAUGAAUAAGCACCGCUAACU
rnacentral:rRNA from 1 species